rnacentral:sRNA from 1 species
GCCCUGCUAAUCUGAAGGCCUGCGUUCCACGCGGGGUAAUAGUAGGAAAGGCGGGGC